AGCCAACAUCUCACCAGCUCACAGUCUACAGAAAGAGCAUAUGUUUUCCCUGAUAGUUCCAGCCACUGUCCCAGGGAGGCCCUUCGUUGCCAGGAGGCUCAUAAACGCUGCCUUAUGAGUGUGUCAUUCCUGGAGCACACCUGCCGUAUAGCAUCAUUGCAUCAUAACGCCCACCAGGAGCAGAUUGCCAGGCCACAUUCUCUGGGUGUGAGCAACAACAACAAGAAAACCCGUGGCUAGUACUUCAGUCAACAAAUUGGCAUUCGAAAGCAUGUCAGCGUUAGUACAGACGUCAUCAGUGAAUGAGAAAGCAAAGAGCCCGUGGCCGCACCUAAUAAAAGGCCAGCAGGGAGA